UACGUAGGGGGCUAGCGUUGUCCGGAAUCAUUGGGCGUAAAGAGCGCGUAGGCGGCUCGGUAAGUCCGCUGUAAAAGUCAAAGGCUCAACCUUUGAAUGUCAGUGGAAACUGCCGGGCUAGAGUCCGGAAGAGGCGAGUGGAAUUCCAGGUGUAGCGGUGAAAUGCGUAGAUAUCUGGAGGAAUACCGGUGGCGAAGGCGGCAUCCUGGACCGGCAUUGACGCGUGAGGAGCGAAAGCUAGGGGAGCAAACGGG
rnacentral:rRNA from 1 species